rnacentral:rRNA from 1 species
UACGAAGGGGGGCUAGCGUUGCUCGGAAUCACUGGGCGUAAAGCGCACGUAGGCGGCUUUCUAAGUCAGGGGUGAAAUCCCGGAGCUCAACUCCGGAACUGCCUUUGAUACUGGAAAGCUUGAGUUCGGGAGAGGUGAGUGGAACUGCGAGUGUAGAGGUGAAAUUCGUAGAUAUUCGCAAGAACACCAGUGGCGAAGGCGGCUCACUGGCCCGAUACUGACGCUGAGGUGCGAAAGCGUGGGGAGCAAACAGG